UACAGAGACUGCAAGCGUUAUUCGGAUUCACUGGGCGUAAAGGGUGCGCAGGCGGUCGGGUGUGUCAGAUGUGAAAUCCCGAGGCUCAACCUCGGAACUGCGUCUGAAACUACUCGACUAGAGUACUGGAGAGGGUAACGGAAUUCACGGUGUAGCAGUGAAAUGCGUAGAUAUCGUGAGGAACACCAGAGGCGAAGGCGGUUACCUGGACAGGUCCUGACGCUGAGGCACGAAGGCCAGGGGAGCAAACGGG
rnacentral:rRNA from 1 species